AAAUGAAUUGACGGGGACCCGCACAAGCAGCGGAGCAUGUGGUUUAAUUCGAAGCAACGCGAAGAACCUUACCAGGCCUUGACAUCCUCUGACCGUCUUAGAGAUAAGAUUUUCCCUUCGGGGACAGAGAGACAGGUGGUGCAUGGUUGUCGUCAGCUCGUGUCGUGAGAUGUUGGGUUAAGUCCCGCAACGAGCGCAACCCCUGUGAUUAGUUGCCAUCAUUCAGUUGGGCACUCUAAACAGACUGCCGUAGACAAUACGGAGGAAGGUGGGGACGACGUCAAAUCAUCAUGCCCCUUAUGGCCUGGGCUACACACGUGCUACAAUGGUCUGAACAGAGGGCAGCGAAACCGUGAGGCGGAGCGAAUCCCACAAAACAGAUCUCAGUUCGGAUUGUAGGCUGCAACCCGCCUACAUGAAGAUGGAGUUGCUAGUAAUCGCGGAUCAGAAUGCCGCGGUGAAUGCGUUCCCGGGUCUUGUACACACCGCCCGU
rnacentral:rRNA from 1 species